rnacentral:rRNA from 1 species
UACGGAGGGUGCAAGCGUUAUCCGGAUUCACUGGGUUUAAAGGGUGCGUAGGAGGGCAGGUAAGUCAGUGGUGAAAUCUCCGAGCUUAACUUGGAACUGCCGUUGAUACUAUCUGUCUUGAAUACCGUGGAGAUGAGCGGAAUAUGUCAUGUAGCGGUGAAAUGCUUAGAUAUGACAUAGAACACCAAUUGCGAAGGCAGCUGGCUACACAAUUAUUGACACUGAGGCACGAAAGCGUGGGGAUCAAACAGG